AUGUUUAUAUUUUCCUCUUUCUCCUAACGUUAGCUGAGCAUCAUGGCUACCCAAAAAGUUCUUUUCAUUAUGAUUAUAGUCGCAAUAUGUGUGAAUCUCUACCAAGUUGAAGGGACUGUGGACAAUGUACGAUCCCAGUCCAAAGGUGCGUGUUACAAAUUCAAUUUUUUUCGAAAGGGGCAGGAAUGAUAAUAAGAUUUUCUGCUAUAAUAGGAUCAGGUUGAUUUUUUUUUCAAUUAUUACCAACAAUAAAUACGUUUAGCAGUAAUCUGAAAAUCAUGUAAAAUGAACGUUAACAAAAGCGGUUUAGAUGUGUUCAUGUAACACAGAUUUUUAGCGUUUAUUUUAAAAUCUAAUAAAUUUUAGUCGAUAGACCUCGAAUAAAACCUCAAUAAAUAACACAUUUUUAACAAGUGUUUGAUCUAUCAAUUCAUUAAAAAAAGGUAUACAAUCCGGACGGAUUUCUAUCAGUGGAAGACGUGGGGGCAUAAUAAAUACGGGCCCGCGUCCAAGGCCAAGGCCUAGGCCAAAUCCCGGGAGAAGACAGGGCUAGGAGAACACUGACCUUGCCAGCUAAAUUCCACGACGUAUAAAGCCGAAAUGUACCACAAUAAAGAAACAAAAUCUUUUAUUCCACAGAGAAGAUUUUACUAAUUUAUACACUUGGAAAAUAAUCAUACGAAAAUUAUUGUCAUCACCUCAAUAAAAACUUGUUAAUAAAC
rnacentral:misc_RNA from 1 species